AUAUGUUCAGUGUGUGGAAUGAAAAAAAUAUUUUUUGAAAAGCAUGAUCGUGUUUGUUUAAAACACAAGGCGUGGCUUAGACAGUUUGCAACGCAGUGGACCGAGCACUCCUCACAGCUUCAAGGUAACAGCGACCGUGCCCAUGCCGUCCUAGGCAGCUUCCCUUCCCUCGCCUUUUCCUUACCUCCCAUGAAUGAGAAGGCCAUUUCCCCUUUGCAGACCGCAUACAGUUUUAGUUUAUGCAUUUCCUUAAAAUUAACUGUAGAAUCCAGGAUACAAACCAUUAGUAGGCAAUACUAUUUUAGAAUGUAACAUAGGAGGUGUAUUUAGCCUCUUUUAGAAGUCAGUGGGUUGAAUGUCUUUUUUUUAAAAAUUUUUAUUCAUUAAGGUGCCUCGUUUUUCUUGACUUUGUCCAUUAACAUUUAUUCAUAUGCCUUUGCAAUAAUUAGAUUGUGAAAAGCUAACAAGUGUUGUAACAAUAAUCCUUUGUUUGGGGUGCUUGCACUUGUCUUAAAAAUUAAAGUGUUUUGGGGUGUUUUUCCAGACAUUGCCUUGCUUAUUACCCUGUAUUUCAAGAGACAGAAUCAACAUACCUUUGCUCUCUGUAGUGUCAACAAAGCUAAAGGAGUUGCAGAUUGUCACAGAACAUACAUUAAGGCAGAAUGGAUUUAUGAACGAGGCUUUAGUUAUAGCUUCAUUAUCUACAAUGUGGGUGUUCCCUUUUUUUAAUCAGUGUUUCAUCGUAAGUGCAAUGGUUUCCUCCCCUGUCCCCUCCAAUCUUUCCCUGUGUGAACAAGACACAUAUCCUUCUUAGGGUUUAACAUUUUUAUAUCAUACACUGUAGUAAGAUAGACGAUGCCACUCAUUCACAAACUAUGCAUGCUGGGUUUUUCCAAUGAGGCUGUGCGUUUCCUUAUAGAGCCUAUGACAAAUGGUGGCUGCUGAGUCAUGAUUUCUAUAGAAACAUUCCUAUAAGAACCACAGAGUGUGUUUAUGUUUUCCCUACCUCUGAAAGAACUUUUACCAUUUGAAUGAAAUUUGUCUAAUGAGGUUAGAAAUGUCAAAUUGGAAAAGGAAGCUAGAAUAUUAAUCUUAAGGUGGUUCUUCUAUUAAUAAUACCCUAGCGAGUGUAUGAUAUACCAAGGAGUUCUAGCAUACACUUUUGUGAUUGGGUACCAUAUGGUUAUAUCUGAUUCUUGGUAGCAUGAUGAUAAAGAAUAAAUGUAAAGGUUGGGUGUGGUGGUGCACUCCUUUAAUAUCAGCACUUGGGAGGCAGAGGCAGGAAGAUCUCUGAGGCCAGCCUGUUCUGCAUAAGCUCCAGGCCACCCAAGGUUAUAUAGUGAAGGAAAAUCUAGGAAGAAAAAAGAAUAAAAGCUUAAAGUGAACCAUUGGUUAUUUGGAACAUUAUAGCCAAGUCAGUCUUUUUAGUGAAAAGACCCUAUGAAAUCUUCAUGGAAAAUUACAAGCAGUGGGUCUCACAUGUGACUUUAGCAGAUCCAGAAAUAGCU
rnacentral:lncRNA from 1 species